AUUUGCUGGGGAUCAGGGGCGCUGUCUCUGUGUAUGUGGGUGCUCUGUCUUUCUCACCUUCUUUCUCGAUUUUUGCUAUUUAUUUCUCUGAGGGAGGGUUUUUUCCCACUUUAAUUUCUUUUCCCUAGUGUCAGCUGCUCAAGCCUGACCAGGGUAGAGGAGAGAGGAGUGAACCAUCCCCUGCUUCCCACCUGACCUCCCAGCCUUUACCCUAUUUCCUUCUAGUGGACAGACAGACUGGUUCUCCAAGUUGUUUGGGUGUCAGCGUCCAUCUGUCUGUCCGUGCAGGUCUUAUGUGGAAGGUAAGGGAGUGAGAAGUGCCGAAAGGAAGACAGAGGGACAGUUUUCUCCCAGGGGUUGCCUUAUUGAAAGGUCUGGCCCUGGGAAUGAGACUGGUGGGGAGCCGAGUGGCCAGGGUGGGGUGUGGGCUGGGAGAAGUGGGGUAAAGCUGGUAGGUUUGUCACUGCGUAGUUGGGAAAAGUGGGGAAUGGUGACGCAGUCACUGUUGCAUCUGGUUAGGAGCUCUAUGGGGACAGGUAGUGAGAUUCCUGGGGUCUCUGUGGCCAGCUGAGAGGGGUUAAGGAUGAGCUAAGAAGGGAAGCUAGCAUUUAGAGAUUAAAUGUCAUCCUUUUGGCGUUGGAAAGUUGUUUACCUUGCGCUCUCUGUGUCUCCAUGUUGGCUCCCUUCCAGUUCACAUGUGAUGGCCUUCCCUGUACUGCUGCAUCAUUAACUAAGUGACUGAGCUGGCCUUCCAUUGGCCAGGGGAGGGCUCUCCCUCCAGACACUUCCUCUGAUUGGUGGGUGGGCCAAUGGCAGGUGAAAAGCUUUUUUUGAUUGGCUCAGGGCAGGGUAUCAAAUCUGAAUUUGCAUUUCACUUGCUUAAAGGGGAGCGGGGAGAAGCCCAGCAGCUUUCUAAAAUCUCUUUAGGGGUGUGCGUAGGCUCCUGUGUCUAUGCCUGCUUUUGACUGCCCAGUUGAAGCCUCUUCCUAUGCCUUUUAAAAUUUCACGCACUAUAAGGAGGAAGAGCUCAGGGUUCCCAAAACUUUUUAUUUAGAGGGAAGAAUGCUAGGGAGAUGGGUAUGCAGAGGGUUGACCAAACUGGAAGAAAAUAUUUAUUCUGUAGUUUGGUGUUGGAAAAGGGAAUUUUCCAAUCAGCCACACCUCAGUGUUGCGGCAAAAUAAUUCUUGGCUCCCCUGGAAACGCACGGGCAAGGUAGGGCAGAGCUGCUGCUGCUGAUACUGCCACCACCCUGGGCUUCCUGCUGACUCCGGGCUACUCCCUGGGGACAACAGAUUUGCAUUGACGUCCGGGGCUGUCCAGAGGCCCUCAAGAGCCAGUCGUGAGCUGAGCCCAGUAUGGGAAAGAUCUACCUUCUGGAAGCUACUACUACGUGGUGCUUGGAAAGAGGACUCAGAAGAGUGCAGCUUGCUCUGUGAGUGGGUGACAACCUCUUGGCGACUCAGGCUCAGCUGAGGAUGGUGCCAGUGUGCCGGAGACAGCCGUCAUACUGCCGGAUAGAGUGGCUCACUUGCAUGUAUUUGGAACAAAAAAAGGAGAUGCCUGGCAGCCCCGCUCUCUGCAGUGCUGUUGAGCCACCAAUUUUUGUGGUUUUGUGACCACAAGUGCUGACUGAUGCGACAUGACUCCAGUCUUGUCAGUGAAUCAUCACCAGGCUGCUUACUGGAAACUGGAUGCAGCAAGGAAAUAGGAUUUAACCGCUCUCUGCCUCCCAGCUCCAGUUUCAUUAUCUAUGAAAUGAGGGGAUGGAACCAGAAUCUCUUUGGAGGUUCCAGCUCUAUCCUGGGGCCUCCCUGAAUGUUCAUGGAGAUGUUCCUCAGCCAAUAAUUCAAGGUGAGGAAAACUAGGCCCAGGUUUCCACAACAGAAGGGGAGGGAUCUUGAUGACCUGUCUCAGAGCAGCUGAAGAGGUACUGUCAGAAUCAGGGUGGGUGGGUGGGAGGAGGUAGUUUUUAAAGAACCUCCCAGAAGUGGAAGCAGAGGACUGGAGGUUUCGCGAAGGUUUUGAUGAGGAUCCACCAGGUGGUAGGGGACAUGGCUACGGGCUUCCCCCAGGAGGCUUGUUGGAGAUGGGGUUAUGUGGGAGCUGCUGGGGGGGCCUGCUGUCCUGCAAGGGGCUGACCCAAGGGACCCUGCUCUAGGAAAGAUGCUCCGUCCUGUCUGGCCCUAAACCCUGGAGAGAGAAUGCAGCUGUGGAUUGAGGGAGAGUCUGUGACCCUUGCUGUCAGGAAGUUUUCCUUUAUAUUUAGCCUUCUCUUUUCAUGUGUUUUUUGAGGCCCUCGACUAAAAAAUUAAAUUUUAAAAAAUAACAAUGAAAAAAUAAAAAAUAAACAAAAAUAUCUCAGAGCCACUGGUUCCAUUUUGGCUUUGUAGUCUUGAGUCACUCUUAAAAAGAUAGCAAAAUAAAACACAUGCAGGAAAGCUGAAGGUCCCAGGCCCAGCCAGACGGAGGCUAGGAGUGGCUGGGACUCUGGCCUAGCCUCUCCAUGGCAGCGUUAGUCCCAGACAUACACCACUUCUGCAAGGCUGUGUGGGUAGGAGGCCCUGGGGCUGAGGGGGCACAUUGUGCAAUCUGCUAAGCAGAAUGUAGAGUUUUAAAAUAGCUACAUUUCUCCAAGACACUAUCUGCUUGCCGCUUUGUGGGGUGUUUACCUGGGAUUAAUAAUAGCUGAGUGCCACCCCACUGCCAGUAUGGAAUAGCAAACAACAAUCUGGGCUAGGACUCAGGCAGGAGAGGAAUGGAGUAAUAACCAUCGUAUCAGCUCACAUAGUUCUUUUCACACUUGCUGGCUCAUUUGGUCCUCACACAACCCUGAAAGGGUAGGUGGUCUUAUCCUUGUCGUUGGUAAAACUGAACCAGAGAGUCAGUCCUGCCAAAAUCUGACUGCCUGUAGCUGCUUCUCGUGGGUCUCCCAUCCAGGUCCUCUGACUUCAGCUGUCGUUUCUCUGGGUUCUGACUAGUGGGGCGGGGACAGAAGUAGGGGAGUGGAGUCUUUGGCAGUUUCCUUAAUUUCUGAAGGCCUUAGAGGGCCUAGAGAUGCCUUUUCUAUGUGUUGAAUGGGCAACGAAACCUCAGCAUGUCCAGGUUCUCCAACUCUGAUUCUUCAGACUUCUUGGAGCUCUUCUGAGAACUGGCUUGCACUUCUUGGCUGGGAAGCCAGCCACUCACCAUGUGUUCUUGGAGCGGUUUCCUGCAUUUGGAAGCUUCUGGAAUAUGUGAUGCAUCAAACCACUGUGACACAUCUGUAUGGCACCUCACGCCUAUGCACACAGGCAUGCUUCUGCUGAGUGCAGCUCACUUAGAGAUGAGGCCCAGCGUAGGGUCUUUGAAAUUUUUCCAACACGUUGGUAAGAGAUGCCCUGAGCCUUGCCCAGCAUGCAUGUUGUGUGUAUGGUACCUGUUUGCUGGCUAAUGUACAGCGCCUGCUGGAAGCCUUGGCUAAUGUACAAUGUAAAGUAAGGGACUAGAAACACUGGCUUUAGCUCUGAGUGUCUGCUUCAUGAUUGACUUGAAAAAGUAGGGCUUACCCACAGAGAGAAAGGUGGGUAAGAGAACUCGUGGGUGUCAGUUUUCCUUAAAGGCAGAGCAUAAACCCCCACUCUUUAUAAGGGCUGCUAAGGUGGAGUAUUGGACAGCAGGACUUCUUGGCCAGUUAGCCCUCUUGAGUGACCUUUGUUUAAAUAGACCCAGAACUUGUAUGAAGGAGGAAAUAAUGGUUUAUCUUUAUUUACAGCGGAUUUAGCCACAAUGGUUUAGGCUUUUUCUGGGGGGUAUUCCUUUAGGACAAUUGAGGUUGGACAGGGGCAGCAUGCAUAUGUGUCUCUAAAUGUCUGUCGUUUGGUAUUUCCUGAAUGCAUCCUUGGCUCAUACAGAAACCCUGUGAUGGGGAAUCCACAGCAGAAUUGUUUUAGUGGAUGAAGCCUUCUGUAGCUUCAUGUGUGAAGAUUUGUCAUGUUGGAUCCAGUUCAUUCUGUCCACUUGAAGGAUGGAAAAGAGAGUGGGCAGAACUUGCAGCAAGGAGAGUGAUUUGGGCUAGACUUCUGGGAGAACUGUGCAUCGCCUCUGCUGAGGGUUUCUGAGGAAAGAUGAAGCCUCUUUAUUUGAGGCAGGAGACUAGGUGUCCUCCACAGGAUUCUCCCAGUCCCAAGUCUGUGGCACUUUUUGAGACAGUCCCUGGAACAGCAUGAGGUUUGGGUGCCAGGAUCUAGAGCAGGCAUUUCUCUCCAUCUUUCCCAUCUGCCUUCAAGACAGGCCCAAGCUGGAUGCAAUUGAGGGGAUGCAUGGGCAGGGUACACCAACGUGGGCGUCGAACCUGGAACUUUGACCUUGUCUCCCUUUACAGAGAGAACUUCUGGCACUGAUCUUAUAGGAACUGGUGUUAUUUGCAUAUAAAAUAAGAGAAAGGCAUGUUGUCCCUCAUCUUUUCCAGGAAAGAGCCCUGAGCUGCUCUAAUCCUAUGGUGGGGAGGGAGGAGGGCCGUGUAGAGGAUGCAGGGCCAGACAUGGUUUGCUGGGAAGAAGGUAGGAGGUGGGAGAAGAACAUCCCAGGGCAGGCCCACAACUCUGGGAGCCACAGACAUUGCCUGCUAUGCUAAAGGCAAAGGGAUGUGUUCAAAUAGGCCUACUAUUUAGAGGUAACCCACAGUCUGAAAUAAAUCAGUUAAUGGCUAAAUGAGAGUUGUAUUAAAUAUGGAAAAUCAUAUUUUUUGUGUGUCAUCACCACCUACAGAUUUAGCAUCAACAGGCCCGAAAGGCUGAGGACACUGAAAUGGGCCCUGUCCAUAAGAUCAUGCUUAUUUUAUAAUGACUUUUUGUCUCUUUUAGUUCCUUUUUCCCACUCUUUCUUAUUCCUUAGGUCUACGUGAAUAUUUACUUAUGCAGUUGUGUUAUUUCCUUGGGGUACAGUUCUUCCAGUGUCAUUGGCACCAAUGAAUAUGUGACUUUGAUUUCAAGUGUAAACAAACCACUGGUUCACGGCAGGCACGAGCCGUCUCUGAGACAAGGGCUCCAGCAGCUGCCUACAGAUGUCCUUCCCCCAAUAGCCCUGGACUGUUUCGGCCAGACGCCUGAGACGAGAGUCAAGGGUGUUCUUGCAGAGACCUGCUCAACCGCAUGUCAUGUGUCCUCCCUGGAGGGUGGUGCUCAUACAUGCAUCUUCCAGCGUUAUUAGCUGGUACUGCUUUUCAGCUUGACCCGAGGAGUGGUAUUAGAAGUUUGAGACCGUACAUCCCUUGCUAGGUGAGAAGGGGGUCAGAGAGGACAGGCACAGACAGAAGAAGGGGAACGCAGGCUCUGGCCACUAGCCUCUCUCAAGACAGGUGAACUUUGUGUUAAGCGAACUCAUUUAAUCUUUUGGGCCUAAUAGAAGUUAUUUGUAUUUUCUCUCCUUCUCUCUUUUCCCUCCUCUCUCUCACUCACCCUCCCCCCACUCCCCAGCCUCCAAAGAAUUUAAUCUGCUGGACAACAAACAAUACUGUUAUAAAACUUUGAAAACAAGAGGGCGCGGCCUCCCUGACGAGGAGAAGGGCAUGCCGGGUAACGGCCUGAGGGAGCGUGCCAGGCCUGAGAUGGAGCCGGGCGAGAGCCCAGUUGGCUGGGUACCUGGGCGCCUGCCCCUGCAUAGCCCACUAGCCACGCCAUCCCCAGGCCAGAGGGGAAGGAACCGAAACAAAAGGAGGGGCAGAGAAACCCUUGAAAAGGGAAGUUGCACAUGUUCUCCUCUCUCUGAUCUGAUGGGAAUGCACUAGACUGUGAAACUUCCUCCUCCACCUCUUCUCCCGAGCUCUUCCCUCCCUCUUACCAUCCUUCCUCCUCUCUCCUCCCUCCUUUCUCCUCCUUCCGCCUCCUCCCUUCUCCUGCCACUCACUGUUCUUGAGCCUGGCAGACAGAGGUCCUGAUAGCAGAAUGAGGCUGGAAUAGCACCGUAGGUGCAGCUACCAGCUGGGCCAGCCAAAGGGGAAGGAGAGAAAGUGGGCUCGCAGUUGGCUUUGGACUCAAAUCUACCCUCUGUCUGGCCCAGCCUCCCUCCAUUCUAUUAGGGAAGUGGAACCACGUCAUGUCACAGGGUGUGCCCAGUCCAUGUGUGUGGACCAGGUGUGUGCGCAGGUACUGGGGAGAACUGCCACUCGGAGGUUAGUUCAGGAAGCACCCUGGGCUUCCUGGUGCUCCCCUUGGUCUGUGCUCUGCUCUGGGGAGGCCGUUUGACUUGUUGAAAUGCCGUCUCCUUUGAGAUGCUGUGCUCUCCCUCCAGGGAGGAGCAGAGGCUGUGCUGCAAGAGGCUGGGGCGUGUCUCUGGAGGAGCUCUUGGGAACAGGAACGUGCUUCUCCCAGCGAGAGCAGCCAUGUCGUCUUGUGAGUGUGGUGCCUGGUAGGAUACUGCGUCUGUUAGUUACUUCUCGGUGGCUGAAGGAGGUCACCAGCUCUGCCUGGGGGAGGUGGAGAAGCUGGGCUUUGGGGCAUCUCCCUCCCUACCUCCAGAGUUAGAUUUCACCUGAGACUGUGGUUUCGCUUUUGAGUCCAUCUUCACUGAGUCAAGCAGAUGAUUUAGGAAUGACCAGGGAGCAGCAUUGGUGGUUUGCCUUUGGAUCUGCAUUGGUUUGGACCCAUGAACUCUGUGGUGGGCAUUGUGUUUGUGUAAUAGACCAUUGGUAUGCUCAUUUUUCCUCUUGCAGAAAGCACUAGCUUCCUUGAAAGCAGUUCAGGGCCAUGCCCAUCGUUCUGUGCCAGAGCUGAGCCCUUCUACUGGGGGAACAUGGAGACACUCGAGCUCCAGUCUUCAUUCCACUCCUCCUCCUUCCCUUUGCCCUCCACUGUCUCCUGCUGUCCCCCCAGCUCAUCCCAGGGACAGGGUAACCUUGGUGCAUCCUCCCAUCCAGCCAGCAGUCCCGACCCAGGGCCCCUGCGCCUGGACUGAGUCUGGGGUUUAUGUCAGUAGUGUUAAGGGAGGCAUGGAAAACUGAACUUUCAGGAGUGCAGCUGCCUAGGAACAUAGACCUCCAUACCUCUGACCCAGGGGAAACUGGAAAAACCGAUGCUGGGUCCACGUAGACUUGAAAGACUGUUACUUCUUGCCUUGUUACCUGAGUAGCCAUUUGAGGGACCCUGUGGGUUUGGAGGAUGUGAUUCCCACACUGGGGCUCAGGGCCUGGGAAAUGCAGUGGUCCCUGGGUUCUGAGUCCUCCUUUGAAGGCCACCCUGCCAGAAAGGAAGAGCCUGAUGGAGGUUUCUGGGGACUUUGGGCCAGCCAGUAACUCCUUGCUCCCUCUGCUCCACCCUUGGCCCCUCAUGUAUAUAUCCUUCCUUUUAUCACCCUUCCCUCUGAUUCACAGCCCCCACCCUGACAGCUAAAGACAGAAUGCCCAGGCUGCUGCCUAGAAUGACAGGAAGUUGGGCUGCUCUUUCAGUUUAUACGUGCAAUGGCCUGGAACUGUCUCUUGAGGGCAAGACAUUCCCCUUUUACAAAAGAGCCUUCCCCAGGCCCCUCUCUCACCAAAAUGAGCUCUUCCUUGCUGCCAGGAGCCCUGAAAUCAGCAUUCCCAGAGGAAAGAAGAUGGCCAUCUGGGCUUGGCUUCCGGCUCCCCCCAUCUGGCUGGAACACACAUCAGUCACGUAAGUAGCUGUGACUCAGCACCCAGCACUGCCUUGGCAGAACCUUCCCACGUUCUGGAUUUGCACACACUGUGGUAGCUAGCGCAGCACAAGCAAGCAGGGUUAGGUAACUGGGGACCAGUGUCUGUUUGUUCAGUGGGUUUGCUUAUGGAUUUCAGAAACAAGGAUUCCCUCAUCUUCCCAUUUUCCUCCCAUGUUAUUUUUUAGGUACCAUGCUAGGCUUUAAAGACAAAUCAUCAUUUAUAGAAUGAAGUAGAAGCUGUCUUUGCAAUCUCCAAACUGUUUUUAACCAACAGCCUGUAGAUUGUAUUUAACCCUCAGAUGUGUUUGGCCUGCACGGGUUUUUGUUUUUGUUUGAGACAGGGUUUCACUCUGUAGCCCAGGCUGGAGUGCAGUGGCACGAUAUCAGCUUGCACAACCUCUGCCUCUCGGGCUCAAGCAGUUCUCAUGCCUCAGCCUCCUGAGUAGCUGGGACUACAGGUGUGUGCCACCACACCUGGCUAGGGUUAUUUUAAUGUAUCUGAUUUUGCAUGCAUUUAGACAAAAUAUGGCCUCUCCAGUUCACUGUAUUUCUGCUGCAUGCUGUUGCUGCUUCUCUGUCUCAGGUUUCCUGCCCAAGCCCUCUGAGAGCAUUUGAACGUGCUGUGAGCAGCCUACCUCAGCCUCCUGUCUUUACACAUGAAGACACUGAGGCCCAUUCAGGGCAAGUGGCAGGUCCCUGUUCUCAGAGUUGGGGCCAAGCAGGUAUUAAAACCAUUGUGUUCUGAUUCACUGUGUGCCCAGGCAGAUUAAUGCCCUGGUGUGAGGUCGAGAAGCCUCCAGGUAGAAUAUGGGGACAGAAGUGGACCAGGUUGGAGUAUAGCUCCCACACCUUUUCCCUGCGUGGCAGCACUCACAAGACUGACAUGCCCACCCUUCUGGGUGGGUGAUUUUCCUCCCCAGACAGCCCUGCCAACCCUUUCACCUUCGGCCAGUUUGUUUGGAGUCAUUAGGCUGAGGUGGGUAAAACCCAUCACCCUCCUUGGAUGGCAGAGCUCUCAGCAGGCUGGGAUUUUCAUGGGCUGCCUUCUUACAGGUCUAGGUGGCCUUCGGGCAUGGUGCCAGGGAGAGCAAGCCCCUUCCAGCCCUUACCAAACUAACUGGCUGCUUCCUACUAGGGAACAGCCACCAGCUUGUUUCAGCAAAGAGUCAUUGCUCAGCUGACUCUGAGAGGAGAAAACUGGUUCUGUUGGGAGAGCUGAGACCUGAAGGACCCCUUUUAUCCAGCGGAAUUGGAAAGGCAAAGGAUUUCAAUACUAACAUGAUUUUUUCUCCACUUCUUUUAGAGUGUUUAAUUAAAGUGAUGCAUUGUUAAUGGCUUCUUAUCUCUUCUUCCAGAGAGUUAAGAGUUAAAUUUUAGAAUCCAGGAGUGGGGACCCAGACUCUGGCUUCUGUUAACUCCCUCAGUGGCAGUGGCGCCCUGCUGUGCACAGCCCCUCUGCUGUACUCCGAAUGGUCCCUUACGGGUAGCAGGAGAGACAUUAAAUAAUCACACUGAUGACCAAGUGAGAUAAGUGGUUUCUGAAGGAAAGAACUUGAAGCUGGCGAGGACCACUUAACCUUCUAGCAAGGGCAGGACUCAGGGAGGCUUUCCUGAGCUGCGGGGAGGAUGACUGAGGUUCCCUGGAGUGGUGGUGGGUGGGGGCGGGGCUGAGGGGUGGUAGCUAAGGGAGGGUGAAGGAGAGUAUUCCAGAAGAGACAACAGCUUAAGCAGGGCCUUGCCAUAGAGGAAGGUGCUUUCUGAUCACUGCGGGACACCUGUGUGAUAGCCCCUAGGGAGGGUGUUUGUGGAUACUGGUAACUAAAAGUUGACAAGGAAGAGUGGUUAAAAGGAAAAGCAGAAAAGUGAGAAUCUCAUCAAAUCCCCUCAUUUGACAGGAUUUGGACUCCCAGUAGUAACUGUCCUUAAACACUCACUCCAGACCUUACAAUCCUGGCUGUUACCUGGUUAACAAGCCCCAGGUGUUGGCUACAGGUGUCAUCACUGAGAGCCCUUGUGUGCAGAUGUGCCCCAGCUCUCCCACCUGUGACUGAGGCCGGCGAGUCCCACCGUGGGCCGUAGAGCCUAGCGCUGGUGUCAGAAUUGCUUGUUGUAGGUUCAUCUUCAGCCUCUUUCCCACAGCCACAGCCAUGCUGGGGAAAGACGGCAAAGGCGCUAGAGGAGCAGGAGAACAAAGCAAGCUGCCCCAGACCACCCGGCCUUCGCAGAACCCAGAUCAUGCUCCUGUCUCCCCCUAAGUAUAACGUGUUAUGUAGUCAGUAUGAUCCCAUUCAGUGCAGAAGUAUCGCUUAGGAAUUUCCUGCCCCACCCACCCUGUUUUGUUCUUAAUGAAGUUCAAGAACAAAACGAGAUGAUAGUCAAGUUAUGGAGCAGGCUGCAGUGGGUACAAGGGCAGAAACACAGUCUUUGGAGUUAGACCUGGGAUCUGCAUUUAUUGGUUGUGUGACUGCAGACAAGUUAUUUAGCCUCAUUAAGGAUGAAUUUCUUCGCAAAAAUUGGAAUAAUACCUGCCCCAUACGACUGUUGUGAGAAUUAAAUACCACAACUUUUGAUGUUCAAAUUCUAUUUCUUCUCCUUCUAGCAACACAUACUGUUAGUGCCAGGAACCAUAAAAAUUAUAAGCCUGUAUCUAGAGGCCUGAAAGAAACCUAAAAUAUACAGUUUCUACUCUGUCUCUUUUCUCUUGGUUAUGGUAUCAGAGGAAAUACACAUAUUUUCUUAGCUUCAGACAACCAAAAAAGAUGAUGCAGUAAGGAGAUGGGAAAUCUAAUUUGGAAUACAGUGUGCAAAUCUUAUUUUCAAGCAGAUUUUGAAAAUAAAACUCAAUUCUUAUGUUAGAGGAUUAUCUGCUUAAUACAAUUAUAGGGUACCAGUUUUUAAAGUCACAUCAGAAGUUAAAUAAGAUUGCAGAUUGACGGGGUCACAUUUGAAUGUUCUGAUACUUACAUAUGGGGUGGGAAGGAGGAACGCAUGCUCUUCUCAAGUAAGACACAUAGAAGAGUUGUCCUGGCCCAGGUGAGACUCACCGUUGUGUAGCUGGAGCUUCAUUCCACAGGCAGAUAGGAUGCUUGUGUCCUGAUGAAGUAAGAGAAUAUAUCUGGAAACACUUUGUAUACUGUGAAAUACUAUACAAAUGCAGGGCAGUACAAAUGUAAAUAUUAAUGUAUUUUAAUAAUAAUUUUAGCUAUUUUAUUUCAUCAUAUAUAAUAAUUUGUAGUGACUGGUGUGAAGUUAAAUAGAGUUAACCUAGAAUUAAUGAGUUUUGUAUUGCUCUCAUCUAUUUGAAGCAUCAGCUGUGCCUUUCAUGUUGCUUUGCGCAGCCCUGUGUAACCUCCUCUGUGCCUUUCCCAUGGAGCACUGUGUCAUAUCACAAGUAGAACUGCAAGAAGAUAUUUCUCCUCAGGGCAGAGGCUGGGUCUUCCGAUUGAAUCUCCCUUCUUUCUUCAUUGAGAUCCUCUUCUUCUGGAAGCUGGUUUCACAUGGUGGCUUAGAUUUUUCCAUCUUUGUAUCUAGCACCAUUUGAAAUCAGUGUUUUAGGAGUAAGAAUUGCAGCACAGCCAAGGGUGGACUGCAGAGGAACUGCUGCUCAUGGGACUGGCUCCUCUCCUCUUGCCACUUGAGUCUGUUCGAGAAGUCCAGGGAAGAACUUGAAGAGCAAAAUACACUCUUGAGUUUGUUGGGUUUGGGGAGAGGUGACAGUAGGGAAGGGGGUUGUGUUUAAAAUAAACACAGUGGCUUGAGCAGGGGCAGAGGUUGUGAUGCUAUUUCUGUUGACUCCUAGCAGCCAUCACCAGCAUGAAUGUGUUGGUAGGGCCUUCGAGUGUGGCGAUUGUCAUAUUCUGUUGGAUAACAAUAUAUUGGGUAUCGAUUGUCAUGGGGCAGGGGAGAGGGGAGUACACCUGGAGGACCAUUUUGUCCACAUCGGCACCGUCAGUCUGCUGUUAGAGGAUGCCCUGGAGUAUUCAGCGUCGAUUGCGGGGCACCCGAAAUCAAACUUGCCACCUGGACUGUCGAGGUGCAGACCUUGGGAGUACCACUGGCCCAUCUCUUACACAGGCUGACCGAUUUCUCCUGGUGUUCAGAGUCUGUUUUUGUCUAGCACCAUUUGAAAUCGGUUAUGAUGUAGGGGGAAAAGCAGCAGCCUCGAAGCCUCAUGCCAAGUCUGGGCAGCAGCAGCCUGUGGUUUCCUGGAAGAUGGAUGGGCAGAGAAAGGGGAAGAUCAUGCUUUUCCCUACUAACUUCUUUAACUGCAUGUAUGAUACAUUAUUGCAGAGGUAAGAGAUAGUUUAAUGGAUUUUUAAAAACAAAUUACUAUAAUUUAUCUGAUGUUCUCAGUUGCAUUUUGCUGAAAUGUAGUGCUAUUCUAAAUUCUGUAAAUUGAUUGCUGUUAUCUUUCUGUUGAGAAGAGUCUAUUCAUGCAUCCUGACCUUAAUAAAUACUAUGUUCAGUUUAUCA